AACUCUUCUCUUUUUUUUUUUUUUUUCUUCGGGAGAAAAAAGAGGAGUUUUAAACAAAGCAUGGCAGAGAGUUCAUAUGUGUGUAGGUCUUAAUAGUGUGUAAUGGAGAUAGAGCAAGGCAUUGCAAACAAGCUUCAGGCAGAUACAUCAGGAAGCUAUUAAUGCUCUACUUGCAAUUUAAGGCUAAGAAAAUGCAUCGUUAAGUGCAUGAUCUUGGAGACCCUGGUGUGUUGGAGUGGAGGCAGGCUUGGAUAUGUGGGAAAAUGUCUCUUUGACCAGAAAAAGAUCAAAACAAAGGGGUAAAUAAACAUAGAAGCAUGUGUUUCAAGGCUGAAAAAAAUGAGAUGCUUGGUGGAUCAAAAACCCAGUGUCAUUCAGGAGCUUGAGGAAGCCCCCGCUGAGCAAAUGGCCAGCAAUGGGGCGUAUUUGGGGGUGGUAGCUCAAGGCUCUAGGUGUCUCCAGCCAUCAUUGUGGUUGCUGGUGGUGGUGUUGGCUGGUAGUGGGACUCCUUUUGCCCUCCCACCCGGCCUGCGGGGUUUCACUGGGAAACAUGACCCGCUCUGAGGUGGCAAGAUGAGUGUUGUAUGUUUCCAAACUGGUAAACAGCUUGUUCUUAUUGUGGGUUGUCAAUGAAAAGGUCGGUUGUGUGCAGUUCUGUUCUUGAUGUUCUCUGGGUGGAGAAGUGUUUCCUUAUGUUCAAGCUGAACCUGUGGAUGGUGAUCUGGGGCUGCAGCCCAUCGUAUCACUUGUUGCUUCUAGGAAGGGUUUGGCCCCAUCCAUCUCCUCCAUCCCUGCCUAUGCCACAGUUGGGAACUGCUUGCAGAUGCUCCCAGUGUCCCCAGACCCAGCAAGCCCAUUUACAUUGCAAAUCACAAAUUGCAUGUGCACUUGCACAGCUUUAACCUUUGCAGGACCAGACCGACUCCCUUCCACUUCACUUAGAGGACUUAAUUGACUUGACUCUUUGCUGGCUCCUUCUCCUGUGAUAGGUAGUGCCACAUGUUAGAAGUGUUUUUUGAAUGUAGCCCUUUUUACCUGCUUUUUAAGUAAGAAUAGCUACUGGAGAAUCUCAAAUGUGUUUGGAGUCAGCAAUAAAUGAGUCCCAAACUUCUUUCCUUUAGAAAAUGCCCUGCAAAAACUCUGGUUUGAGAUCUCUCCAAAAUACUUUGAAGUAGUACUAAAGCAGGAAGUUAAUUAGAGCUGCUUUGAUAUCUUACAGCAUGUUUUAACAGCUGCUUUGGAGGCAGCUCAAACAGUAAGAGCAAGCAUGGUUUAGUGCAUGCUCCUGAGAGCCUGUGCCCCUACCAGAAUGCCGCUGCAUGUCAUGGCCACAGCCAGUUGUUUUCUUUCCUAAGAGCUCAAACUUGCUUGCACAGGGACUUGGGAAAAUAAAAUGGCCAAACCUCAUUGGACUGCUGCUUUCUUUUUUUUAAUAAAAAAAUCCCUCGAUGCUGUGGUGUUGCAGCCACAGUCUAAAAUUUCUCUUGUUUCUCACUUCUGUUUUCAGUUGUCUUUCUCCCAAGUUCUCCGGCACGCUAACAUUUUCCUUGUUUGUAUUUAAAUGACUUCACUGGAUAUUUUAAAACAAAACCAUUGCAGUAAGAAGUUUGAGCUAUCUCCUCUUGGUGAAGAACCUCUACAUAGCAAAAAAGCACAGGUUUUGACCCCAUUGAUCCACUCUCUUGGAGUUUGCUUGCCAGCAAACAUGAUCUGAAAUCUUUCACUGUGAUGAUUAAUGGUUGGAUUUGGGCAAAAUCCACUGUCAUGGAAAAAACUUCUGCAGUUUUUCCUCACUGCAGCUGUAACUUUUAUCCUUUUUUUUUUUUUUUUUUGUCUUUUGACUGCUCUUUAAACUUAUGACUUGAUUUUUGUUAUGUUUGUUACCAUUUUGGUUGAAUGAGUGAUGCUUCGGAGUGAAAUCCUACUCUUGGGUCUUAUUUCUUGAAACCUAUCUCCACAUUACACAAGAAGAAAGAAG
rnacentral:lncRNA from 1 species